UACGAAGGGGGCGAGCGUUGUUCGGAUUUACUGGGCGUAAAGGGCGCGUAGGCGGCGCGAGAAGUCGAGUGUGAAAGCCCCGGGCUCAACCUGGGAAUUGCGCUCGAUACUCUAGUGCUUGAGUUCGGGAGAGGAGCGUGGAAUUCCCAGUGUAGAGGUGAAAUUCGUAGAUAUUGGGAAGAACACCGGUGGCGAAGGCGGCGCUCUGGACCGAGACUGACGCUGAGGCGCGAAAGCGUGGGGAGCAACAGGAUAGAAACCCCGGUGAGUCCAGAACCG
rnacentral:rRNA from 1 species